AGAGAUCGUUUCCUGUCCGAACAAAUCACAGAUCACCUGUUUGAAUCUGCCAUGGGAUCGUUUGAUUUGGGUGCCUUUAAUAUCCAACGAGGUCGAGAUCACGGUCUACCACCUUACAACACCUUUAGAAAAUUCUGCAAUUUACCUGAAGCCAACAACUUCAACAGUGAACAAUUCGAGAAAACGGCUCGAAAACCUCUUAAAAAGACAUACAAAAGUGUUGAUGAUAUUGAUGUAUUCGUCGGUGGUAUGGCAGAACAAAAUGAAAAUGGGUCGGUUCUUGGCCCGCUCUUCAAUUGUAUCUUGGGCAGACAAUUCAGCGAUUUGAAAUAUGGAGACAGUUUCUGGUAUGAAACAACAGACCAGAAACGAGGAUUCUCGAAAAAUCAACUUAAGGCCAUUAAGAAAGUUUCUUUGUCUAAGAUCCUGUGUCAAGUUUUUAACUUGGCUAAAAUCCAAAAAAAUCCUUUCCUGCACAAGGGCAAGAAAGUCAGAUGUAAGAAACUGACAGGGUUGGACCUUAGUCCCUGGUAUGAACAUUAAAUGAUUUAAAGCAACUUUGCUAACGACGUUGGAUGGCUCUAUAACAAUAACGUUGCGAACGACGCUAACGUCUAUAACAACACCACUGAUGACGUCAUAUUCAGCAUAUCGUACUGGCUUCCAUGUACAUUUCUAUAAUG